rnacentral:lncRNA from 1 species
GCUCAUCCCCUCUACAGAAAGCUUUUCAACAACCUCCAUGUAUCUCCUCUUAAAGAUCGCUAAGCACUAGAUCCUCCCGACCUCUUUAGUUUCUUGCAAAUUUUGAAUCGGAGUUUGUUUAAAGUUCAGAAUCAUUGGUGUUCGGGUGUAGAUUUGUGACCUAAAGAUUCUCUAGUUCACUGCCUUGAAACAGGUCACUACUAUUCUCUUUUCGCUUUGUAUUGUUUCUACGUUAUACUGUAUUCCACCAUCAUUUUGAUCCCGCUAUUAGAUACGAUGAAAUAACCACUGCCUUCAAUUUCUUUAUUUAUUUUCUAUCAUGUUUCGGGUUUGGAGUUUUGUUUCAAUAUAGUUGUUGAUUGUGAAGCAUGAACUAGAAUAUCUUUGGACAAUAGAAAUAGCCUUUUGAGGCAUGUUUUAAAACCUUACAUAUCUUUGGACAAUAGAAAGAGCCUUUUGAAGCAUGUUUUAAAACCUUACAUAUAGUAAAAAUCAUGUUAGACAAUUUAUCUCUAAAAUAUUGUGCAUUAUAAUUUCCUUGUCUAUGAGCAUGUCCUGUUUUCUUAGUUAAAAAGUUCUCCUACUUUUUGUAAAAGAUACUUCAUAAGGAUUUCAUUGUCCCUUCUGCUCAUUCGGAACUUUUAUAAGUAAUAGUUAUGUUUCUAUUUUUUGUGAGAAUUCUGGUUUAUAAAUAUGUUAGGCUUUCUCUAGUGUGAAUUGCGCCUACUAGCCGAGAGUGUUUUUUAGGGUUCUCUAAUGAUUAGUUUGUUGUUUGAAAUCAAGAAUCUCAUUUUCUUAUUUCUCUUUCUAUCUCGUUGGAUACUCACACACUGUCAUUUACUUUACCAUGUCUAGUUAAUUUUCAUAUUAAAUCUGUCUCGGUUCUUAUCCUUUUUCUUUGUUUUCUUUGUUUGCAUGAACAUUGGAGUCGAAGAGUCUCGUGAUGAGACUCGACGUCGCAAUCAGACUUUUCCAAUCAUGGAGCUAACACUUAUCUCUUUCGAGUCCACUUAAACUCCCUUGCACUAUACAUAAAUAGUGGAGGAAAUAGGCAUCUUAUUCUCCAUUUUUUACUCGUUACUGAUUCUAUUAGGAUUUAUGUUGUGUUAUUUAUUUAUUUAAUUUUAUUUGUCUUUUUACUUUAACUUUCCUUGAUUUUGUUGAUAGAGAAUUAGGCCUAAAAUACUUAAUUUUAGAAUCGGUAAUUUUCGGUAAUAUAGUUCGGAUGCAUGUCGCUAGCUUUUCUCCUAUAUAUAUAUGGUGAUUUGUGUCUAGACUAUAUUUGAAAUUUUGAAGAAGCAAAAUUUAGGUAUGUAGUUUUCUUUUUCUUCACAAAAUGACCUUUUUACAAAAACAAAAAAGGAGGAAUGAAAAGAAUUCAAUUUUAUUUUUUUUCUUAAUCUUUUGAUUAUCCCUUGUUCCAUUUAAAAGUAUUUCAUUAAUGCGAGUGACUCAUUUUCUUAAAUUAAAUAGUAAAAUGCCAAAUGAUAGAACAAUUUCAGUUUCUGGUGUUGGCAACUGGCAUUUAAGUUUCGCUGUUAUUUUUUUAAAUGCAGAAUUAAGCAUUGAGCAAAACAUAACUUUCUUUUAGCAAAAAUAACUUUUAAAGAGGUUAUAAAGUACAAAGUUAUAAUCUUGCAAAAAAUACAAAUUUUGAGAUAGUUUAAAGAAUUUAAAAUUGUAUAUUUUAAUUCUUAACUUUUAUUCACUUAAAAAAAGUGAAAUGAAGAUGUUUCAACAAUGGAAAACACAAAUAGCUUUCAAAAAUGCAUUCUCGAGAAAGAAUAAAACCAAUGUUCCGUAAUUGAAACUCUUCUCAUUCAUUUUUCUUUUAGAAAUAUAUUUGUUAAUAAUAAGGUAUUAAAUGUUUUUUUUGCUAAUUACACAUCUUCUUCUAAAAUUUUUAAACAUGGCAUAUGCUCUCGUCUUAUUCCAAUUUUAUUCUCAUCCAGACUUUGUCUCACUUGCUACCUUUUUCUUUUCCUCAUUUUAUAUAAUAAAUAAAAAACGAAUUCUUUCUUUAAAACAAGUAAAAAAUGUUUUUUUAUAUCUAACUUAAGUUUGAUCGGUUAACCAUAGUUAGCGGAUCCUUUAGGAUGCCUAAUCCCCUCCCUUUAGGAUAAUUAGAGCCUUUACCUAGAAUUGCUUAGUUAAGUAGAUCUAAAAAUGAAGUUUUAAUUUAUUUUAUUCACUUAGUUUAUAGUGGGUGUCCUAAUUCACCAUAGAACUAAUUAGGUGGUGACUUCUCUUAUUUAACUCAGAAGUUUUCAAUAUAUUUUACACUAUUUUGAUCUCGUAUUAAAAUGGGGUAUAAUAUCUUGGCAACUUCACUGGGGACAUUAGGUUCUUAACCAUAACAAGCUUAGGUUAAUAAGUAAGUUUUUCUAAUAUUUAUUUAUUUUACCUUUUCUGCGUUAUGUGUUUAUCAUGUUUAUGUGAUGAAAGCUAUUUAUUUACUAUUACUUUGUAUGAAUUAUUUGUUAUUGCUUUAUAUAAAAUGUCAUUCCGUUCAUAUUUCUUUCAUUCGAAAAAACUAACACAGUCACACAUACACGUGAGGUGUGUUUUGCACACUCGCAAUUUCUUUCAAAUUCCAAAUUUUAGGAGAGUUGGCGUAUGUAUGGUUUGUCCAGAUAUUUUUGUAUGUGACUGCGUAGCCUUCUCGCUCGAGUUGUCUACUCGGGAACCUUGUGUUUAGAAAGCCAAAUCUUAGAAGAACUUAAGAUAGAACUUCCCUAGAUAUAGGCCAUGCAUGCAUAAGCCUUAGGUGGUUUGACCCAUGGUGUCAUUCCACGAAUUUAGAAAAUGCCCUUAUGUCAAAUGGGUUUACGACCUGACGACAACCACUCAUAUUAUAUGCAUUUGCUAAUGAUAAACGAAUCCAAGCCUAAUUGUGACACCGCGAGUUUGGAAAAUGUGUACUUAUUUUAUUGUAUUUACAUUGUAGGAUGGAUUUAGUUCCCCAAGUUCCAAAAAUUAGAAUGGUCGAAGGUGUUCCACACAAGUUAAGGAUAUGGUGGGAAAAUUUUGACUUGACUAAAAAGUUGGCGAUCACAAGAAAAUUGGGGUGCCUUCCUACACUCUUUAAGAUCUCCCCCGAUAAGCAUGUGGUUAGAGCAUUAAUUCUAUUUUGAGACCCAGAUCGAGUUGUCUUUGCAUUCAAAGACUUUGAAAUCACCCCCA